UGAGCAUGUAAAUAUUCCGGAAGUACCGGGUUGGUCGAAAAUGAGUGGGGAAAAAACUGUCCAAAAGAAGCCCGCCGAAAAAAUGCCCGGAACAGUGUCACGCGCGCGGCGCGUGGUCGUCGUCGGCGGCGCGUGAGCAGUCGUCGGCGGCGCGUGCGUCGGUUUCCGGCGACGAAACUCGCAAGGGUUGUGCGCCUGACGGUGUAUGUCUCAGUGGUGUAGGAGGUGUCGAAGAAAGACCACCGUGAGAGACCACUGUUGACGAUUCCGAGGAGAGAGAGAGGGGUACUUACCUGUGGCUACCGGCGGUUCGUCGGGAUGCCAGUCUCGGUGGUUUUCUGCCGUCAGAGGGGGUGGUCUCCGGGGUGGAGAGGUCGCCGGGGGAGGGGGGGCGAGGGGAGCGGUGAGCUGGGGG
rnacentral:lncRNA from 1 species